GUGCCAGCAGCCGCGGUAAUUCCAGCUCCAAUAGCGAAUAUUAAAGUUGUUGUGGUUAAAAAGCUCGUAGUUGAACCUUGAGCCUGGAUGGCCGGGCCGCCUCACCGCGUGCACUGGUCCGGCCGGGCCUUUCCCUCUGUGGAACCCCAUACCCUUCACUGGGCGUGGGGGGGAAACAGGACAUUUACUUUGAAAAAAUUAGAGUGCUCCAGGCAGGCCUAUGCUCGAAUACAUUAGCAUGGAAUAAUAAAAUAGGACGCGCGGUUCUAUUUUGUUGGUUUAUAGGACCGCCGUAAUGAUUAAUAGGGACAGUCGGGGGCAUCAGUAUUCAACUGUCAGAGGUGAAAUUCUUGGAUCAGUUGAAGACUAACUACUGCGAAAGCAUUUGCCAAGGAUGUUUUCAGUAAUCAGGAACGAAAGUUAGGGGAUCGAAGACGAUCAGAUACCGUCGUAGUCUUAACCAUAAACUAUGCCGACUAGGGGAUCGGACGGUGUUAUUCAUGACUCGUUCGGCACCUUACGAGAACUCACAGUGCUUGGGCUCCAGGGGGAGUAUGGUCGCAAGGCUGAAACUUAAAGAAAUUGACGGAAGGGCACCACCAGGGUGGAGCCUGCGCUUAAUUUGACUCAACACGGGCAAACUCACCACGUCAGACACAAUAAGGAUUGACAGAUUGAGAGCUCUUUCUUGAUUUGUGGGUGGUGGUGCAUCGCCGAUCCUAGAUGUGGGGUGACUUGUCUGCUUAAUUGGCGAUAACGAACGACACCAUUAACCUGCUAAAUAGCCCGCAUUGCUCCCGCCAGUGCGCUGGCCUCC
rnacentral:rRNA from 1 species